UUCGAACUGAUUAUUGAAAAA
rnacentral:piRNA from 1 species